UAACUCCUGGAUGGACAAUGAGCCCG
rnacentral:piRNA from 1 species